UUUAUGAUUAUUUUUAAAAUAUAUAAAUAAAAAAUUUAUUAAAUUUAUUAGGUUUAAUAAAAUAUAUAAAAUAAAUUUUUAAAUAUAAAUAUACAAAAUAUUAUUCAUAAAAAGGUUAGAAUCUUUGUAUGGUAUAAAUAAUUUAAGUAGUUUAAAAAACUUAAAAUAAAUGGUAGAAAAAUAUUCAAUCUAGGGAAUUUUGAAAUUUAAUUUGAUAGUCCUCAAUUUUAUUUACUUUAAAUAUUUUUAUGUGUGGUUGUUUAAAAACAUUUUUAAAAAUGACUUUAAAUUCAAAUUUUACGUAGUAUUUUAAAGGAUUUUUGAAAUAUAUUUAAAAUUUUUAAUAAAAUUUAACAAAAAUUAGGACUUAGAAGUAAUACAAAACUUAUAAAAUUGUUUUAUUUUUGGCUCAUAUUGUCCGUCACUCUCAUUAU
rnacentral:rRNA from 1 species